AUCCAACUGACGAGUCCGGUGAAAAAAUAGGACGAAACACGCCUCCUGGAU
rfam:Schistosoma mattheei strain Denwood, Zambia genome assembly, scaffold: SMTD_scaffold0004335